CAUGAUUACCAAAUUGUUAAUUUCAUAAUACUUACCAAUUCAUUCUUUACUAUUGGACUCAACCAAAUUAUCAAAAAAAUAUCCUAAUCUUCCAAGUUAGUUGUUUCGUAAUGAAAUAUGUAGGUACAGUUCGGACUUUCAGACCAAACAACUUGAUAGUUCCUGUCCUGAAGUUACUGCGAUUACACUUUAGUGCUUUGUCAAACUAUCCAACAGUCGAUCUUUGAAAGAAUGAACUGAAUAGGCGGUUAACGGUCUGCAAUAGGGAAU